rnacentral:rRNA from 1 species
CGUGAGGGAAAGGCGAAAAGAACCCCGGCGAGGGGAGUGAAAAAGAACCUGAAACCGUGUACGUACAAGCAGUGGGAGCCUCUUUUAUGGGGUGACUGCGUACCUUUUGUAUAAUGGGUCAGCGACUUAUAUUCUGUAGCAAGGUUAACCGAAUAGGGGAGCCGAAGGGAAACCGAGUCUUAACUGGGCGUUAAGUUGCAGGGUAUAGACCCGAAACCCGGUGAUCUAGCCAUGGGCAGGUUGAAGGUUGGGUAACACUAACUGGAGGACCGAACCGACUAAUGUUGAAAAAUUAGCGGAUGACUUGUGGCUGGGGGUGAAAGGCCAAUCAAACCGGGAGAUAGCUGGUUCUCCCCGAAAGCUAUUUAGGUAGCGCCUCGUGAAUUCAUCUCCGGGGGUAGAGCACUGUUUCGGCAAGGGGGUCAUCCCGACUUACCAACCCGAUGCAAACUGCGAAUACCGGAGAAUGUUAUCACGGGAGACACACGGCGGGUGCUAACGUCCGUCGUGAAGAGGGAAACAACCCAGACCGCCAGCUAAGGUCCCAAAGUCAUGGUUAAGUGGGAAACGAUGUGGGAAGGCCCAGACAGCCAGGAUGUUGGCUUAGAAGCAGCCAUCAUUUAAAGAAAGCGUAAUAGCUCACUGGUCGAGUCGGCCUGCGCGGAAGAUGUAACGGGGCUAAACCAUGCACCGAAGCUGCGGCAGCGACGCUUAUGCGUUGUUGGGUAGGGGAGCGUUCUGUAAGCCUGUGAAGGUGUGCUGUGAGGCAUGCUGGAGGUAUCAGAAGUGCGAAUGCUGACAUAAGUAACGAUAAAGCGGGUGAAAAGCCCGCUCGCCGGAAGACCAAGGGUUCCUGUCCAACGUUAAUCGGGGCAGGGUGAGUCGACCCCUAAGGCGAGGCCGAAAGGCGUAGUCGAUGGGAAACAGGUUAAUAUUCCUGUACUUGGUGUUACUGCGAAGGGGGGACGGAGAAGGCUAUGUUGGCCGGGCGACGGUUGUCCCGGUUUAAGCGUGUAGGCUGGUUUUCCAGGCAAAUCCGGAAAAUCAAGGCUGAGGCGUGAUGACGAGGCACUACGGUGCUGAAGCAACAAAUGCCCUGCUUCCAGGAAAAGCCUCUAAGCAUCAGGUAACAUCAAAUCGUACCCCAAACCGACACAGGUGGUCAGGUAGAGAAUACCAAGGCGCUUGAGAGAACUCGGGUGAAGGAACUAGGCAAAAUGGUGCCGUAACUUCGGGAGAAGGCACGCUGAUAUGUAGGUGAAGUCCCUCGCGGAUGGAGCUGAAAUCAGUCGAAGAUACCAGCUGGCUGCAACUGUUUAUUAAAAACACAGCACUGUGCAAACACGAAAGU